rnacentral:rRNA from 1 species
AAGGAUCAUUAUUGAAUAAACCUGAUGUGGUUGUAGCUGGCCUUCUGGCAUGUGCUCGCUCGUCAUCUUUAUCUUUCCACCUGUGCACCUUUUGUAGACUUGGAUGUAACACUUUCUGAGGAAACUCAGUCGAGAGGAUUGCUUCAUUAGCUUUCCUUGCAUGUCCAUGUCUAUGUUUUUACAUACCCCAAAGAAUGUAACAGAAUGUAUUGUUGGGCCUUGUGCCUAUAAACUAUAUACAACUUUCAGCAACGGAUCUCUUGGCUCUCGCAUCAAUGAAGAACGCAGCGAAAUGCGAUAAGUAAUGUGAAUUGCAGAAUUCAGUGAAUCAUCGAAUCUUUGAACGCACCUUGCGCUCCUUGGUAUUCCGAGGAGCAUGCCUGUUUGAGUGUCAUUAAAUUCUCAAACCAUACCAGCUUUUGUUGGUAUUGGCUUGGAUGUGGGGGUCUUUUUUGCUGGCUUUAACAAAGUCUGCUCCCCUCAAAUGCAUUAGCCGGUGCCCCGCGUGGACCUGUCUAUUGGUGUGAUAAUUAUCUACGCCGUGGAUGUCUGCUUUAAAUGGGUUGUGCUGCUUCUAAUCGUCCCUUUUGCUUGGACAAUUAUUGACAUUUGACCUCGAAUCAGGUAGGACUACCCGCUGAACUUAA